UGGGGGAUAUUGCACAAUGGGCGAAAGCCUGAUGCAGCGACGCCGCGUGGGGGAUGAAGGCCUUCGGGUUGUAAACUUCUUUUGCUCUGAACAAGGCGCACCAUGGGGUGUGUUGAGUGUAGGGGUUGAUUAGCGCCGGCUAACUACGUGCCAGCAGCCGCGGUAAUACGUAGGGCGCGAGCGUUGUCCGGACUUAUUUGGCGUAAAGGGCUUGUAGGUGGCUGGUUGCGUCUGUCGUGAAAGCUCAUGGCUUAACUGUGGGUUUGCGGUGGGUACGGGCUGGAUUGAGUGCAGUAGGGGAGGCUGGAAUUCCUGGUGUAGCGGUGGAAUGCGCAGAUAUCAGGAGGAAUACCGGAGGCGAAGGCGGGUAUCUGGGCUGUUACUGACACUGAGGAGCGAAAGCAUGGGGAGAGAACAGG
rnacentral:rRNA from 1 species